UAGGGAAGCUUCCGCAAUGGGCGAAAGCCUGACGGAGCAACGCCGCGUGAGUGAGGAAGGUCUUCGGAUCGUAAAACUCUGUUAUUAGGGAAGAACAAAUGUGUAAGUAACUAUGCACGUCUUGACGGUACCUAAUCAGAAAGCCACGGCUAACUACGUGCCAGCAGCCGCGGUAAUACGUAGGUGGCAAGCGUUAUCCGGAAGUAUUGGGCGUAAAGCGCGCGUAGGCGGUUUUUUAAGUCUGAUGUGAAAGCCCACGGCUCAACCGUGGAGGGUCAUUGGAAACUGGAAAACUUGAGUGCAGAAGAGGAAAGUGGAAUUCCAUGUGUAGCGGUGAAAUGCGCAGAGAUAUGGAGGAACACCAGUGGCGAAGGCGACUUUCUGGUCUGUAACUGACGCUGAUGUGCGAAAGCGUGGGGAUCAAACAGG
rnacentral:rRNA from 1 species